rnacentral:rRNA from 1 species
GAUCAUGGCUCAGGAUGAACGCUAGCUACAGGCUUAACACAUGCAAGUCGAGGGGCAGCAUUUUAGUUUGCUUGCAAACUGAAGAUGGCGACCAGCGCACGGGUGAGUAACACGUAUCCAACCUGCCGAUAACUCCGGAAUAGCCUUUCGAAAGAAAGAUUAAUACCGGAUGGCAUACGAAUAUCGCAUGAUAUUUUUAUUAAAGAAUUUCGGUUAUCGAUGGGGAUGCGUUCCAUUAG